AAGCAGGUUCCCCCUAGGCAGAGCGCCAAGAAGCAGCCCAGGCGAUCCCAAGGCGCACAAGUGCUCUCACCAGGCUGCGCGCUGGCGGGUCGGUGCACAGGGACGGGGUCGCCGCCCACGCGCGCUUGGUUCAGGGAGCCCAGGCUGUCCCUACCCGCGGCUACAAAAGCUCGCCGAGUCUUCCUGUCCACCCAAUCGCCCCACAUGUCAGCGGUUGGUCGCCUCGCGGUGCAGUGCUGGGCACGCGAGCCCCUCCCGCAGUCAUUCUCAGCACAAGCACCAGCCUGGAGCCCCGCAGCGACAGAGCUGAGAGCCCCCAAGCCGCAGAGGUCGUGCGGAGCAGAACAGAAGAAACACACGUGUUCUUGUGUGUAAACCCAGUCCAUGGAAGAGACCGUCUGCUUGUCCCUCCUGAUCUCUGGGCCCAGACAACCAGUAGUCACCAUUCCAAGUGAGGGGUGGCUGCAACUCUACAGCCCCGUUCGUCUCUCCUCACUGUCAAAGCUGCUGAGACCCCAGACUCGACACUUGAAAGAAACCCAUGUCUGUGAAGCACUUGUGGACCAUUCAAGAUUGUGGAAGAAUCACUCAAGAGAAGGAGAUAGGUGAUGGGAUCUAGCUUCUGAUGGUUUCUAUUUUAUUGAAUGUCUAAUAGGGCAAGAAUUUGAAAAACGAGAAUGUUUGCCAUGCAGGAGGACCUGGGAAGGAGAUAACACAUUUACAGGGAGAAAGAUUGGGAUUCAGUUGGGAGGAGUAACUGAGGAAAGGGGUCACUCAAAAUAUUUUGUAUUUUAGGUCCUUUUUCUAUUAAGGAGGAAUGGAUUAUCAAAGCCUUAACAUUAAAUUGUAUUGUGUCAGGUGAAUUGCUAUGGUUUGAAUGUGGUGUGUCCCCCUCCCAAACUCACAUUGAAUUUUUUUUUUUUUUUUUGAGACGGAGUCUCGCUCUGUUGCCCAGGCUGGAGUGCAGUGGUGCGAUCUUGGCUCACUACAAGCUCUGCCUCCCGGGUUCAAGAGAUUCUCCUGCCUCAGCCUCCCGAGUAGCUGGGAUUACAGAUGUUCGUCACCACACCUGGCUAAUUUUUGUAUUUUUAAUAGAGAUGGGGUUUCACUAUGUUGGCUAGGCUGGUCUCAAACUCCCGACAUCAGGUGAUCCACCCACCUCGGCCUCCCAAAGUGCUGGGAUUAGAGGAGUGAGCCACUGCACCCAGCCUCACGUUGAGGUUUAAUUGCCAUUGUAACAGUAUAAAGAUGUGGGACCUUUACGAGGUGAUUAGGCAAUGAGGACUCUGCCCUCAUGAAUGGAUUAAUGCUGUUAUCAUGGGAGUGGAUUCCUUAUAAAGGGACACGUUCAGCACCCCCUUGCUCUCUCUCUCACCUUCCGCCAUAUGAUGAUGGGGCACAAAGGCCAUCAUCAGAUGUUGGCCCCUUGUUCUCGAACUUCCCAACCUCCAGAGCAGUAAAAAAAUAAAUCACUGUUCUUUAC
rnacentral:lncRNA from 1 species